UCCUUUGAUGCUCGCUGUUUAAAAGUGGCCUGACUCAGAGAGAAACCAACAGUGCAAAUUACGAACACUUCAAGUUCUUUCACCUGUCAUGAUGUCUUCAGACACUCAAUCACCAGAUUUGAGUUUGAAUGUGAGAUAUAGCAGAAAAGACAAACAGGAUGGUGGAGCAAAAGAUGACAGCCAGGUGGAGAUCUACAUGAAUGAAGAGACUCUGAAACAAAGUCUUUGUGAUCUUGGCUCCCAUAAAGUCACUGUCAAGAGAAGUCCUUUCAGAGCUACUGCGGUGAUUAUGGGAGUGCUGUAUCUUCUGAUAUUGGCUGGGUUCUACACACGCUAUAUUCUUGCCACAUUGGAAAAACAAAAUGUGGUGACAGAGAGAGACCAGCUCAAUAUCAGUCUGAACCAGGCGCAAACCAGAAUCAUUAAUCUGACUGCAGAGAGAGAUGAGCUACAGACCAGAUAUGACAACCUUGAAAACAGAUACAGUGGGGCAAUAGCUGACCGAAAUAUGUGCUGGGAUUGUUGUCGGGAUAGGAUUUGGCCACAUGGCCGUCAUCCAAUAUGUUGAUGGGAAGUCCAGCUCUUUUCAAAGAUUCGGCUCUUUUGACUCGGCUCCCUUAGAAGAGCUGGCUCUUACGGCUCCCAAAUGGCUCUUCAUUUAGUAUCACUCUGAGCCUUCUAUUUUAGUCAAAUUUUUUUUUACAGUUUUUGUGUUGGUAAGCAAUUUUUCAUUCAGCGUUUUCAUAAAAGCCUAAUUUUUAUGCAUUUUUUUCAGUACAAAAAAAAUCCACAGUGCUCUUUCCCCUCCAGUUGCACGGAUGGGUGGGCAGUUCUUAGAUGUCUGUGCAGGUUUGUUGUUGACCCUGUUCUGAUGGUUAUUUUCAUUUUACAAGUUCUGCACUCAGCUUUGCAGUCCAAUCUCGCAUCCACAUUUCCCUCACUUGUGUCUCUUCCUCGUGUCUUAGCUCCGCCCUCGUAGGAUAUUUAUAAUCUGUCCUGUGUCCUGCUCAGAGUCACACAAAGUGUUUAUAUGAUUUAUUCAUUAUGUGCAACUGUAUUUAUUGAUAUUCUGAUUGUGAGUUCAUUAUUUAAUAACCCAGAAUAUGAUCAUGAUGUCUUUGAUCACAUGAAAUUAACAUGAAAUAAUUUAUUCGGCCAAAUGUUUCAGGGAAAAUUAAAAUUCUGUAACUCAUCAACCUGACGCUCAGGAAUGAUCAGCCUCAGUGUGACUGAAAGGAAAAGGCGAUCACUGAUGUAAAAGUGUUUCUUGCUGACACUCUGACAGACAGACUCUUUGAUUGUAUCCAUAAUUAAAGUUGAUGAGGGAAAUAACAGAUGGUGAAGAAAGAAACUCUCUUCAAUAAAUGAAGAAAGUCAUUUGUUUCCUUUUAUUGUUCAGAUUUUUAACUCGAUGGUGAAUCAGAGAACAAAUAAAAUAUAAAAUGUGGCAGUGGUACAUUUGAGUUUAAUCUCUUAUCUGUCUUCACUCCAGUGAUGUUGGGAUGCAUCAGAUCAGUCCGAUCAGCUGUCCAAUCAAUAACUGAUAUUCAAUUAGAGGGGUGUGUCGGUUGGUAAAAGACUAACCUGAAGCUGCACUCGUGUGUCCUCUCUUCUCUCUCCUCGACUCCUCCGAGUGCAUUUAAUGUAUUGAGACGUCUUACAAGAUGGCGAGUCUCAAUCGAUUUCCAGGUCAAGUGAUCGAGGGUAGAGGAUGGAGGAGUCAAGGAGGGAUAUUGGGAUGAACCCACAGUGUCUCAGAACGUCAGCAACCAGCGCACCCAGGGUACCUUUCACACCACAUGUGGAUGUGGAAAUUCCAUGACCAAAACGUCAAUAUUUGACGAGGUCGGAAUGAGAAUGUAUUGGUCCUUGCCUAAAUGUUUAGUGUGGUUCUUGCAUUGUAUUUGGAUUGCUCAUGAAAAUUAGCUUCAAGCUAACUCUCAUAUAUUG